AAAUGGUUUUAACGUUUAUUUUUCAUUUUAACAAAACAUUGAACAAGCAAAAUACACAACGUCAUUGGUCAACACUCUAACACCCCUUGACCAACUGUUUGAAAAGUUCAUUUGAAAUUAGGGAAAGUUAUUCAACUAAGGGACAAAACAAAUAUUCAGUUUUCUUGUUAUCAAUAUUGAAACCAUUUUAUGAGAACAAAAAAAUAAUGCGAGAUCAUCACAACAAAAGCUUUUGGGACUGAAAUCAUGCUCAGCCUUGAAAAAAAAAAUGAUGUUUUGUGAUUUAGAGCAAGUCUUUUUUUUUUCAAAUCGAAAAAUAGUGUCAUGUUUUGAAACUAGUAAGGAACAUGAGGGUGUAUGUAAAUACAAUUGUUUUCACAAAAAAAACAACAAAAAAAAACAAGUUUUUUGUUUUGGCAAUGAAAUUUGUACAUUGAAAAUGUAUUUUUAUCUACUUCAAAAAGACUUACCAUAGUCAAAGGUAAGAUAGACUUCAUCACUAGAUAAAUAGUUGACACUGUGACAAUGCAAGCAUAAAAGUUUGACCAUUGGUAGAAUUAAGAAAUGAAUGACAAAAUUUUCACAGUAUUAUAUGAGUGUAAUUCACUUAUUCACUGUGUCCAAAAUAAAAGGGUCUUGUAAUUAAUUUGAUGAUUAAUAAUUUAAAUUUGAUGACAUUGAUUUCAUCAAUGUUCUACUGUUUCAAUGUAAAUAAAAUACAAUUCACUUAUUUAAUUUUAAACAAAGAUAUUUCAUAUUUAAGUGACACAGGAUCACAAACAAAAAUGAUUUUAACCAUUAAAGUAACAUACUAAAUAUAUAUUCCAUAAUAUCCACUUAACAAAACAUAAAAUUUAAAAAAUGAAAGCAUGAAAAACUUUAUGAAAAUGGAGAAAAACAUGAUUUUUUUCAUGAGAAACUGAAUUAUGGUAGAAGAUCUUUUAAAAGAAAAAAAAAAAAAAAAAAAUUAUAAAUGGAC